AAGACUAUACUUUCAGGGAUCAUUUCUAUAGUAUCCAACUAGAGAAAUGCAUUUGAAAGUGGUCGGUUGAGU